UACAGAGGGGGCAAGCGUUGUUCGGAAUUACUGGGCGUAAAGGGCGCGUAGGCGGCCUGUUAAGUCGAACGUGAAAUCCCCGGGCUCAACCCGGGAACUGCGUCCGAUACUGGCAGGCUUGAAUUCGGGAGAGGGAUGUGGAAUUCCCGGUGUAGUGGUGAAAUGCGUAGAUAUCGGGAGGAACACCAGUGGCGAAGGCGGGUCUCUGGGCCGUAACUGACGCUGAGGAGCGAAAGCGUGGGGAGCAAACAGG
rnacentral:rRNA from 1 species